rnacentral:rRNA from 1 species
UACGGGGGGAGCAAGCGUUGUUCGGAUUUACUGGGCGUAAAGGGCGCGUAGGCGGUCGUGACAAGUCACUUGUGAAAUCUCCGGGCUUAACUCAGAGUCUGCAGGCGAAACUGCCGUGCUGGAGUAUGGGAGAGGUGCGUGGAAUUCCCGGUGUAGCGGUGAAAUGCGCAGAUAUCGGGAAGAACACCCGUGGCGAAGGCGGCUCUCUGGGACGGUACUGACGCUGAGACGCGAAAGCGUGGGGAGCGAACAGG